rnacentral:rRNA from 1 species
GACGAACGCUGGCGGCGUGCUUAACACAUGCAAGUCGAACGAAAAUACCAAGCUUUCUUGGUUGAGUAGUGGCGAACGGGUGAGUAACACGUGAGUAACCUGCCCCUUACUUUCCUGGAUAACUGCUCGAAAGGGUAGCUAAUACGGGAUAUUCUGACCAGCCUGCAUGGGUUGGUUUGGCAAGGUUGUUUUUCUGGUAAGGGGUGGGCGCGCGCCCUAUCAGCUUGUUGGUGGGGUGAUGGCAUACCAAGGGUUUGACGGGUAGCCGGCCGGAGGGGGUGGGCGGUCACAGGGGGACUGAGAUACGGCCCAGACUCCUACGGGGGAGAGGAGUGGGGAAUAGUGCACAAGGGGCGCGAGCGUGGUGGAGCGACGCCGCGUGAGAGAUGCGGGCCUUCGGGGUGUAAACCUCUUUCGUGAGAGAAAAAGGCACUGCUUUUUUGGUGGUGUUGAGGGUACCUGGAGAAGAAGCGCCGGCUAACUACGUG